rnacentral:rRNA from 1 species
AUUGAACGCUGGCGGCAGGCCUAACACAUGCAAGUCGAGCGGAUGAAGGGAGCUUGCUCCUGGAUUCAGCGGCGGACGGGUGAGUAAUGCCUAGGAAUCUGCCUGGUAGUGGGGGAUAACGUCCGGAAACGGGCGCUAAUACCGCAUACGUCCUGAGGGAGAAAGUGGGGGAUCUUCGGACCUCACGCUAUCAGAUGAGCCUAGGUCGGAUUAGCUAGUUGGUGGGGUAAAGGCCUACCAAGGCGACGAUCCGUAACUGGUCUGGGAGGCUGAUCAGUCACCCUGGAGCUUAGACACCGUCCUGACUCCUACGGUAGGCAGCAGUGUGGAAUAUUGGACAGUGGGCGAAAGCCUGAUCCAGCCAUGCCGCGUGUGUUAAGAAGGUCUUCGGAUUGUAAAGCACUUUUAGUUGUUAGGAAGGGCAGUAAGUUAAUACCUUGCUGUUUUGACGUUACCAACAGAAUAAGCACCGGCUAACUUCGUG